UUGACAAAGGUCCCAUUCCCCU
rnacentral:siRNA from 1 species